CUCAUUCCGGCCACCGUGCUCACCAAGAGGGACUAAUUUUGAGAAAUGGAAAGUUGCAGCUUCUAAAAAUAUCUCCCUCUGUCUCACUACCUCCUUCCAACACAUGGAGUGGAACCACCUCUGUUGCCUGGACCAGUCCCCGGAAGCCCUGCCCCCGGUCACGGCCAAGGUGGCCUAGGCUGGCGUCAGCUACAAGUCCCUUUUCACAGACAAUCUAGACUCAACAGUCACUGACCUCUCUUCAUCACUCUGCAAACUUGCAAUGCCCAGGACCUUGUUUUGUCCUCAGAGAUGGUUAUUCUUACCCCCGUCUUGAGCCGUGAGGAAACCAGAGGUAUGAAACUGGGACACCCCGAGUCACACAGCUGACUGGUCCUCACACCAGGCUGGAAGCCCAGGUUUCCCAGCACCCUGCCCUCCUCUUCCCAGCAGCUAUGCCUCUGAAUUUAGACCCGCAGCAAUUGAAGAUGGACUUCCAGCAGAGAUGACGGCAUUUGGACCACAGCACUUGCUCCGCCCGAGCUCUGUUCUUCUAAGAAGCCCUCCUAGACAGGACAAAGCUGAGGACCGGGCCUUGCCUGCAUCCCCGGACUGGGAAAUUGAACUGAAUGGUGAGCACCGCACUGGUCGCGGGAGAAGGGCAGAGAGCACAGACCGAGGCAGUGAGGGCUGCCUCUGCUGUCAAGAAGCGGACAGGCUCUCCUCCUUGGGCCUGGUGGACCAACCUCAGGUCCUCGGUCUCCAGAAUGUUCUCCAGGUGGGGAUCCCCAAAUCCCUCCUCACCUGCCGGGAUCUGCAGGUGCUCCGCUCCCACCA